GGAGAGGUCGCAUAGUGGUCUAGUGCACCGUCUUGGAAAGGCGGCGUACCGCAAGGUACCGCGAGUUCGAAUCUCGCCCUCUCCGCCA
rnacentral:tRNA from 1 species